AUGGCGCCUCUGAAGAAACUCUUUCGUAGCUCGCUUCUCUUGCUAGUAUGCGCAGCCAAGGCGACCAACCCGGAAACGGAAGCACUUCUCCGAUGGAAGUCCACUUUGGUUGGCGCCAACUCGCUGUCCUCAUGGUCGACUGCGAAUUCCACUUGCUCUUGGUUUGGUGUCACCUGUGAUGCUGCCGGGCAUGUUACGGAGCUCAGCCUUCCCAACGCUAGCCUCAACGAUACGCUUGAUUACUUGUAUUUGGCAGCGUUCUGGUGUUGGGCUAAGUCCCUCCACAUGGAGGUGUGUUGGCAGCCCAACAUCAGUCCACAAGUCCAGUAUAUAUGA
rnacentral:rRNA from 1 species